AGUCGNNCCUGCCCGGUGAAUUUUUUAACGGCCGCGGUACUCUGACCGUGCAAAGGNNNNNUAAUCAUUUGCCUUAUAAUUGAAGGCUAGUAUGAAUGGUUUGACAAGAAUAUAGCUGUCUCUAUAUAAUUUAAUAGAAUUUUAUGUUUAGGUGAAAAAGCCUAGAUUUAAUUAAAAGACAAGAAGACCCUAUCGAGCUUUAAAAGAAUUAAUGGAGAAGAUUUUAAUAUUAAUAAAAAAAUUUGCUAUUAAAUAUUUUGGUUGGGGCGACUGAGGAACAUUAAAAGCUUCCUUUUAUAUAUUUAAACAUACAGGUAUUGAUCCAUAGUUUGUGAUUAAAGAAAUUAGUUACCGUAGGGAUAACAGCAUUAUCUUUUUUGAGAGCUCUUAUUGAAAAAAAGGUUUGUGACCUCGAUGUUGGACCAGAAUGUCCUAAAGAUGCAGAAGUCUUUAAGGGUUGGUCUGUUCGACCAUUAAAAUUCUA
rnacentral:rRNA from 1 species